rnacentral:rRNA from 1 species
UACGGAGGGUGCAAGCGUUAAUCGGAAUUACUGGGCGUAAAGCGCGCGUAGGCGGUCUGUUAAGUCAGUGGUUAAAGACUGCGGCUCAACCGUAGCACGCCAUUGAUACUGGCAGACUUGAGUGCGACAGAGGAGACUGGAAUGUGUGGUGUAGCGGUGAAAUGCAUAGAUAUCACACAGAACACCAAUUGCGAAGGCAGGUCUCUAUGCCGUAACUGACGCUAAGGCACGAAAGCGUGGGUAGCGAACAGG